rnacentral:rRNA from 1 species
GACGAACGCUGGCGGCGUGCUUAACACAUGCAAGUCGAGCGGAAAGGCCCAGCUUUUGCGGGGUGCUCGAGUGGCGAACGGGUGUGUAACACGUGAGUAACCUGCCCUUGCCUUUGGGCUAACUUCAGGAAACUGGGGCUACUACCGGCUAGGAGCUCCUGCUGCAUGGUGGGGGUUGGAAAGUUUCGGCGGUUGGGGAUGGACUCGCGGCUUAUCAGCUUGUUGGUGGGGUAGUGGCUUACCAAGGCUUUGACGGGUAGCCGGCCUGAGAGGGUGACCGGCCACGCUGCCACGGAGCCACGGCCCAGUCGCCAACGGGAGGCAGCACCGGGGUAUGUUGCACAAGGGGCGGCAGCGUAGGGCAGGAACGCCGCGUCCGGGGUCACGGCCAGCCGCCUGUAUCGGGCUUUCGCGAGGGCCCAUGGGGGAGGGCUGGUAAUUGGUAGAGAAGCCCGGGCUAAAGACAUG